GCAGACACAUUCCAGCCAAUCAGCAGCAGACCCUCCCUCCCAGACCCUCCCACCUCCUGGACAGCAUCCAUUUUGAAGCUGCAUUCUUAGUGAGCUGUCCAGGAGGUGGGAGGGUCUGGGAGGGAGGGUCUGCUGCUGAUUGGCUGGAAUGUGGGG